rnacentral:tRNA from 1 species
GCCUCAGUGGCUCAGCCUGGUAGAGCAAUUGCCUUGUAAGCAGUAGGUCGCCGGUUCAAAUCCGGUCUGAGGCU